GACGAACGCUGGCGGCGUGCUUAACACAUGCAAGUCGAACGGAAAGGCCUGCUUUCCCUUGUGGAUUGCGGGUACUCGAGUGGCGAACGGGUGAGUAACACGUGAGUGAUCUGCCCCCAACUUGGGUAUAAGCCUGGGAAACUGGGUCUAAUUCCCGAUAGGACUGCAGGGUGGUGCCUGUGGUGGAAAACGAUUUUCUAGUGGUUGGGGAUGAGCUCGCGGCCUAUCAGCUUGUUGGUGGGGUAAUGGCCUACCAAGGCGGCGACGGGUAGCCGGCCUGGGGGGGUGGGCGGCCGCAGUGGGACUGAGAUACGGCCCAGACUCCUCCGGGAGGCAGCAGUGGGGAAGAUUGCACGAGGGGCGGAGGCCUGAGGCAGCGACGCCGCGUGGGGGAUGACGGGCUUCGGGUUGUAAACUCCUUUCGACCGCGAGGAAGCCACCUGGUUGGAAGGGUGGUGACGGUAGUGGUAGAAGAAGCACCGGCUAACUACGUG
rnacentral:rRNA from 1 species